GACGAACGCUGGCGGCAUGCCUAACACAUGUAAGUCGAACGAGACCUUUGGGUCUAGUGGCGCACGAGUGCGUAACGCGUGGGAAUCUGCCCUUGGGUUCGGAAUAACUCGCCGAAAGGUGUGCUAAUACCGGAUGAUGUCGUAAGACCAAAGAUUUAUCGCCCAGGGAUGAGCCCGCGUAAGAUUAGGUAGUUGGUGAGGUAAAGGCUCACCAAGCCGACGGUCUUUAGCUGGUCUGAGAGGAUGAUCAGCCACACUGGGACUGAGACACGGCCCAG
rnacentral:rRNA from 1 species